CUCUUGGUCAUUUAGAGGAAGUAAAAGUCGUAACAAGGUUUCCGUAGGUGAACCUGCGGAAGGAUCAUUACUGAUUUGCUUAAUUGCACCACAUGUGUUUUUCUUUGAAACAAACUUGCUUUGGCGGUGGGCCCAGCCUGCCGCCAGAGGUCUAAACUUACAACCAAUUUUUUAUCAACUUGUCACACCAGAUUAUUACUAAUAGUCAAAACUUUCAACAACGGAUCUCUUGGUUCUCGCAUCGAUGAAGAACGCAGCGAAAUGCGAUACGUAAUAUGAAUUGCAGAUAUUCGUGAAUMAUCGAAUCUUUGAACGCACAUUGCGCCCUCUGGUAUUCCGGAGGGCAUGCCUGUUUGAGCGUCGUUUCUCCCUCAAACCGCUGGGUUUGGUGUUGAGCAAUACGACUUGGGUUUGCUUGAAAGACGGUAGUGGUAAGGCGGGAUCGCUUUGACAAUGGCUUAGGUCUAACCAAAAACAUUGCUUGCGGCGGUAACGUCCACCACGUAUAUCUUCAAACUUUGACCUCAAAUCAGGUAGGACUACCCGCUGAACUUAAGCAU
rnacentral:rRNA from 1 species